AUUGGUACUGUCUUCAUGAGCACCUCGGUGUAUAUGGAUUUAUUCCAAUAAGCCCUAAAAAAAAAGCCGAGACUUCUCUUUUAUCUAUCAAAACAAUUCUUAACCACGUCUUUAUUCUUAAACCUUCGCCUCAUCGCCUGCGAUAUAAAAAGAAAUUAACAGGGAGAACGAAGACAAACGAAUGAGAAGAGGUUAGGGUUAGGGUUUCUAGGAAGGAUUUUAUACGCGUGAAAGGGACAAAGGACAUCCAAUUUCCUAUUAAUGAUUUGAUAUUUUGAUGUUCUCGUUUUCUUAGUUUCCUUCAUAGGGUGCUAUUUUUACUCAAAGGGACAACUUUCAUCUAUUUCUAACCACGCAAUGAUAGUGAUAUUAUAGGUGAAACGACAAGGUAGAGAAGAUGAAGAUUUUGUAUUAUCAAAAACUUGAAUACAAACAGGUUAUCCCUGUGUCUAAAUAGGCGUACAUUCCUUUACAAAUAUGGUGAGGAGAUUAUACGCAAUUAAUAUCUUUCCUAAAACAGAAGAUAAGUCCUAACUACCAUAUAUAUACAAAAUAUAUAUGCAAAUAUCUUAAUACUCCCCCUCAAGUUGGAGCAUGGAGAUUACGAAUGCCCAACUUGCGAAGAAGAAACUCAAACUGAGGACGUCCAAGCGCUUUGGUGAAGAUAUCUGCAAGUUGAGCUGUUGUGCGAAUAUGAGAAGUGAUAAUAGCACCCGAUUGAAUGUGAUCACGUACGUAGUGACUAAUAGACAAUAUAUUGUCAGAAUAUUUAGUUACCUUUCUGUUAUUUAGUUACCUUUCUGUUCUGGGAGAAUAUUGGAUUUGCAUUGACUUCUCCCAGAUUUCCUGUAAUAUACAAAACUCUACUUAUAUGAGUUUAUGGAAUAAGAAACAGGAGGAUUGAUUACCAAAA